rnacentral:rRNA from 1 species
UACGUAGGUGGCAAGCGUUGUCCGGACUUACUGGGCGUAAAGAGCGCGCAGGCGGUCGUGCAAGUCGCGUGUGAAAGCCCCCGGCUCAACUGGGGAGGGUCACGCGAUACUGCUCGACUCGAAGGCAGGAGAGGGAAGUGGAAUUCCCGGUGUAGUGGUGAAAUGCGUAGAUAUCGGGAGGAACACCAGUGGCGAAGGCGACUUCCUGGCCUGUUCUUGACGCUGAGGCGCGAAAGCUAGGGGAGCAAACAGG